GGGGCUGAUAUUUUAAGCUCGACGUAGGACUUUAUCGGUUAGAUUCGCAGGUCGCUUAUCAGCGUUAUAGGUAAAACUUUUUAGAUGCAAAUUCUAAAAUUAGCGAUGCUAAAGAGGUAGUAGCAAACUUGUUUGCUCGCAGCUUUGCAUUCGCACCAGCUGUAGCCUAAUGUUACAGCCGCGAUGAGUGCGAUAUCAGAUAGUGCUUUAUUCGCGCCAUAUUUUCUGGUUGCGUGUGGUGACUUUUUGUAAGCCACAUUAAGCUUUACAAAAUGCGUAGCUAUAUAAUUUUGUCUGUUUUGACGUGUAGCUACUAAGAAACCUUCAAACAGACUAAACCUGUAGAGAACUAGCUAUUAAACCUCACGGACCCGGGGGCAGUACCCGGCAGCUCCACCA
rnacentral:tmRNA from 1 species